rnacentral:tRNA from 4 species
GGCGGCGUAGCUCAGCGGUUAGAGCAGGGUCUUCAUAAGGCCAAGGUCGCUGGUUCAAUUCCAGCCGUCGCUA